GUUAGGCAAUAUUCCUUCUGCUUUUCUGUUUGUCAAACAAUUUGAAAAAUAUUUGUGGUAAGUUUUUGAAAGUCUGGUAAAAUCCAUCUGGUCCUAGAUUUUUGUUGUAGUUGUUGGAAGACGUUUAAUGACUGCUUCUUUUUUUACUAGGAGUUAAUAGUUCUGUUCAAAUUGCUUACAUGAUCUUGAUUUAACUUUGGGAGGUGGUGUAUAUCGAGAAGGUUAUCCAUUUCUUCUGUUUUCUGAUUUGAUGCUGUGGCUUUGGAUCUGCAGGACUGGCCUCCUUCAUGUGCACUAGCAGCUCGUAGAUGGGGUGGAUGUUUGCGUGAGCCAACACAAAGCCCUGGAUCUGGGCCUGAAUGGAAGCUGAACUGGUUAGACCACCAGUUCUCCUAUGUCCACAUCACCAAAACCAGCUCUCCUACUGUGCCAGGCAUAAAGCUCAAAGAGAGCAAAUAAUUUCCCCAAGAAGUAAUGAAGAAAUAGCAUCUGGCUUUAAGUCUGCUUGGUCCGGCAUGCUGACUCAAAGAAGACAGGAUUGUGGAUGCAAUCUAUGCUCUUCCUUAGCAUCCUUUCUAGGCAUCAUGAAGGCCGCACAGAAGGUAACAACUGUUCUUUUUGUUGAAGGACUAAAGUUUGUUAAACCAUCUGGAUUAGUUUAGUCUUCUCAUAAAAGGACAAAAACAUGCUUUAAAUUAAGCUUCCAAAUGUAGAAGCUGGAUACCUGGAAGAAAAAAAAGACAAAAAAAUUUAACUCUAAGACAUAAUUAUCAGAUUAUAGGGACGUGUGCUAGAUAGUUGAGCAAUCGUUCUGAGUUGGAGCUAAAUUAAUGAGCAUAUUCCCCAGGAGAUCUGAUUAUUUCCAGUGGUCCUGGCUGUGGGGUUGGCUUAAUGUGUUCUGUGUGCAAAUGUGAC
ensembl:lncRNA